CCCGCCAUGACCGUUCCUCGUUGUUUUGCUUUUUACGACAAAAAAACUAGAAUUUCGCCCGAUUCCCAUAUUUUCAUGUGCUCUAGCCCACGCCUUCCGAGUGGGCCCGGCUCCCCCGAAACUGGAUUGCCUAACAUUUUUCCAGGCCAUCAAAUAUGACCCGAGGAACCAUAAUCACCUCCGAGUGGGUUCGGACCCCGAUCACAUAAAAUUAUUCCGAGCCAUCAAAUACGACCUAAGGAACCAUAGUCACUGCCCGCCGUGUCCGUUCCUUGUUAUUUUUAUUUUACGGCCAAAAAACUAGAUUUCCGCCCGAUUCCCAUAUAUUCGUGUGCUAUAGCCCACGCCUUCCUAGUGGGUCCGGGCCCCACAGACUCCUAUCGCCUAAAAAUUUUCCAGGCCAUCAAAUACGACCAAAGGAACCAUAGUCACCGCCUCGCCAUGGCCGU
rnacentral:lncRNA from 1 species